GAAAUCAGCUAUAGUCGCCCCUUCAGGGGCUGGCGACGCCAUCAAUCUGUAUCUGGAAGUGCCCCCUACCAAGGGAGUACCACCAGCAGCUCGUUGCAUUCGAGUUCACAGGUCAAACGAUAGCGGCCACUUUGGUGGUUGAGAUAUGAUCGGCCUCCAGCGUUACCUAGCUGGGGAAAUUCGCGGAACCUGCGGAAGGAUCAUUA
rnacentral:rRNA from 1 species